GCACAAACUGCAGUGUGAAGCCGCCCCAAAACUCCAACGCAGAUCCAAGAUUUGAAAGAGAGCAUCGAGGAGGGAGAGAGAUGAGCGGGGCGGGAGCUCCCGAUUUCUAUUACAGGGAGGCUCAGCGCCUUGGCUACGUGGCACGCUCCGCUUUCAAGUUGUUACAGAUGCAGAAGCAGUUCAAAUUGAUAACUCCUGGAGCUUCUGUCCUUGAUCUUGGAUGCGCUCCUGGGGCUUGGCUCCAGGUAGCUUGUCAGAGUUUGGGUCCUUUGAAAAAUGGUGGAGCGGUUGUUGGUGUUGACUUGAAGAAAGUCAAGGUCCCUCAGCUUCAUUGUGAUGCUCGAGUCCAAACUGUUUGUGCAGAUGUUAUGAACCUCAUGAGGCCCCAAGCCAGAGCGCUCUCUCCUAAGGGAAAUGGGUUUUCUGUGAUACUCUCAGACAUGUGUCCCCCGGUUUCUGGGAUCCAUACGAAAGAUGCAGUUCUUUCCAGUGAGUUGGGGAUGCGUGCACUUUUCUUGGCAAUGGGCAGGUGCAGUAUAACAGAUUCCAGUUCUCUUGUUAGUUCUGAAGAAGUAAUGGACAGUUCAGAUGAUGAUGAAGAUGGGGUCCUUAAGCCUGGUGGUCAUAUCAUAAUCAAGCUUCUUGAGAGUGAAGUGAGCCAAGGUAAGAAGUGUCUUAAGUAUGUGCGUGUAUGUGUUUUUCAGGUGAUGGGGUGGGGGCUUGGUGGGUUAUAAUCCAAUAGGACACCACUGCCAACAAAGUGACAGACAGUGCUGGAGAGGGGAAGGCUCACAAUUAGGUUCAUAGUUUGUUCCGGGUUUCGCCAUCUAUGCAAACCUCGUUUCAAGAAAGUAUCAUGGUUAAGGCCGAAAGCAACAAGGUCUUCCUCUAGAGAAAUCUACUUGAUAGGUCAAGGCCUGAAAUAGCAUGCGAUGGUUGUGUAUCUACUCAUGGACUUGGGUAUUUUGGUAUGGUUAGGGUGCUUGAUCAUUCGCUGAUUGGGAGGUGCAUUCUGGUUUUUGGAGCUGUUGAUCAGGCAUCCACAUGAAAAGCUGCUCAGGGUAUCCAUUAAAUUUGGCAGUCUAAGUGCAGACGCGGUGCAGCAUGGUUCAAUUUUGAUAACACUAGAACACCAUAUGCAUCAAAAGCAGUAUGAUGGGCUGAAAUUCCCUGUGAUAUGUGUGUGUGUGAGAGAGAGAGAGAGAGAGAGAGAGAGAGAGAGAGAGAGAGAGAGAGA